AAGGAAAGAAGAAUGCCUUUGGGUAAUAAAACUUAAUUGGAAGGGAAAAAAGAAGUGCCCGUACCAAAAGCCAGCCCCGGCUAAGUACGUGCCAGCAGCCGCGGUAAUACGUAGGGGGCGAGUCUUGUCCGGAAUUACUUAAAGUAAAGAUCAGGUAGGCGGCAAUUCAAGUCAGAAAUGAAAAGCCUCAGCUCAACCGAGGGUUUGCAUAUGAAAUUAAAUGAGUUGAGUAAAGGAGAGGAGAAUUGAAUUCGUGGCGUAGAAAUGAAUUGAGUUGAGAUCGGGAACCAGUCCAGAAGGGAAAUCGGCUGUCUGGAACUGAAGUGGCGGUGAGAAAGGAAAGGGAGCGGACCAAACAAGAUUCCA
rnacentral:rRNA from 1 species